UCCCUGCUGCCGCCGCUGGCCACCAGCCACACCUAUGCCAGCAGCUCUGGUGCCACCUUGGGUCGGCGUCUCCGGGGGCGGGAGCAAGGCGUGGAUGGGUGCAGCGGGGACGCCCAAGCGCUGUUGCGGCUCGGCUCGGGCGCGGGUGGCAGCGCCUCCACUUCUCCAUGGGGCUGGCCCGUGGCACCCGGGUGCCCUGAGAACAUUUCCACUGCCGUUCCAUGGAUUCACGGAGCAGGGUUUGGAAUUCCUGGAGAACUGCCUUUGUGAGAAGUUGGAAAUAUUUAUGUCAAUUCCAUCUCUUAGUUUUCCAUAGGAACAUCAAGAAACCAUGAACAACUUUAGUAAUUAAGAGUUUGACUGCCACUUCCUUGAAGGUUUUACUGCCAAGGACACUCUGGACCAAAAAAUUAAUGAAGUUUCUUCUGAUGAUAAAGAUGCCUUCUAUGUUGCAGACCUUGGAGACAUUCUAAAGAAAAAUCUGAGAUUUUAAAAGCUCUUCCUCGUGUCAUCCCCUUUUAUGUAGUCAAAUGUAAUGAUAGCAGAGCCAUUGUGAAGACCCGUGUUGCUAUCGGGACGGGAUUUGACUGUGCUAGCAAGACUGAAAUACAAUUGAUACAGUCUUGGGGUGCUUCCAGAGAGGAUUAUCUAUGCAAAUCCUUGUAAACAAGUGUCUCAAAUUAAGUAUGCUGCCAGUAAUGGAGUCCAGAUGAUGACUUUUGAUAGUGAAGUUGAGUUGAUCAAAGUUGCCAGAGCACAUCCAAAUGCAAGUUGGUUUUGCGGAUUGCCACUGAUGAUUCCAAGGCAGUCUGUCGCCUCAGUGUUCAAUUUGGUGCCACACUCAAAACCAGCAGGCUUCUUUUGGAAUGGGCAAAAGAGCUAAAUAUGGAUGUCGUUGGUGUCAGCUUCCACGUAGGAAGUGGCUGCACUGAUUCCGAGACCUCCGUUCAGGCCGUCUCUGAUGCCCGUUGUGUCUUUGACAUGGGGGCUGAAGUUGGUUUCAGCAUGUAUCUGCUUGAUAUUGGUGGUGGCUUUCUUGGAUCUGAGGAUGUGAAGCUUAAAUCUGAAGAGAUCACCCGUGUAAUCAACCCAGCAUUGGACAAGUAUUUUCCAUCAGACUCUGGAGUGGCAAUUAUAGCUGAGCCAGGCAGCUACUAUGUUGCAUCAGCUUUCACUCUUGCAGUCAGCAUCAUUGCCACAAAAAUCAUAUUAAAGGAACAGACAGGCUCUGAUGAUGAUGAAUUGAGUGAACAGACCUUUAUGUAUUAUGUGAAUGGCGGAGUAUAUGGAUCAUUUAAUUGCAUCCUGUAUGAUCAUGCACAUGUCAAGCCCCUCUGCAGAAGAGGCCUAAACCAGAUGAGAAGUAGUACUCGUCCAGUAUAUGGGGACCAACGUGUGAUGGCCUUGAUCGGAUUGCAGAGCGCUGUGACCUGCCUGGAGUGCACGUCGACGACUGGAUGAUCUUGGAGAACACGGGCGCUUACACUGUUGCUGCUGCUUCUACUUUCAAUGGAUUCCAGAGGCCAACCAUCUACUACGUGAUGUCACGACCAAUGUGGCAACUCAUGCAGCACAUCCAGAACCCCGACUUCCCACCUGAGGUAGAGGAACAGGACGUCAGCACCCUGCCUGUGUCUUGUGCUUGGGAAAGCGGAAUGAAGCAUCACCCAGCGACUGGAGCUUCAGCUAGUAUUCAUGUGUAGAUAAUCACCCUUGUAGCUGCUAACUGCAAGUUCAGCUUGAAUUAAGGGUUUUGGGGGGACCACUUAACUUAGUUACCACUCAUUUUGAAAUGUCUUUGUAACAGUGGGGUUGGUGUAGAUGCAGCAAUAUGGAAGACUAGGAGAUGGGGUCACACUUAUCUGUGUUCCUAUGGAAACUAUUAGAAUAUUUGUUUUAUAUGGAUUUUUAUUCACUUUUCAGACAUGCUACUACAGAGUGCCCCCCAGCUGCUGAGCAAGCAUUUGUAGCUUGUACAGUGGCAGAAUGGGCCAAAAGCUUAGUGUUGUGACCUGUUUUUAAAAUAAAGCAUCUUGAAAUUAAAAAAAAAA